GGGAUGGGAUGGGAUUAUGGGAUGGGAUGGGAUGGGAUGGAGCAGGUCUUCUUGUGACUGUGGGCUGCUCCCUGAUCCACUGUUGGCUCUUUCCAGGAUGAUAUAUUUAUGUGUCAGUGCCUGGCUGCAGUUCCUGUCAGCCCCAAAGCAGAUCCCCUGGCACCCUCUGGCAUCAGUGGGAGCCUCCACCCUGGGGAGGUGUUCAGGAAGGGAUCCCACUGCUGGGAAGGGGCUGAGCUGGGCUGCCCCUGGCUCACUGGUGGGGUAGAUGCUGGGGUUCCUUCUGUGGUUCAUUUGGGUCUUGUCCCCUGACCCUGGGAAAGGGGAUACAGUCAAGGCAGUGGACAGCAAGACUAAGCAAGGACUGGAGAGGCAGGACCCAAAGAGCUGUUGAUGCCUGAAGAGAUGCUUGGUGUGAGCUGGUGAGGGAGUCCUCAAUGUCGUCAUCACCCUUCCUGGCUGCUGGCACCCCUUCCCAGUACUCAGUGGCUUUUUCCACCUUCUGUCUUCCCACCUAGCUCCUGCCCCAUGAAGGCACCUGGGCAGCCUCAGCAGGGAGGAGGAAACUUUUCUGGACUUCUGACCCUGGGGUCAUUCCCUGUGCCCAAACCUCUGCCCAUGUCUCCCCUCCUUCCAUGGACACUUGGCCGCCAGACUGCAGCAUAUAAUAAAUGGCUCCCUCAUCAAAUUUGGGUGAAAUACCAUGAAUUAACUCACCAAGACUGUUUGUCCAGGCUGUCCCAGCUGAAAUGGCUGCAGGCUGAGGAUCACUUGACCAUCCCAGGAGCUGACAGGGGCCAGGUGAGGAUGAGGAGCAAGAAGUAGAGGAAGGCAGCACUUGAUGCCCAUGAGUGAGUCCCUUCCAGGCAGUGGGAGAACCCUCCUGUGGGCUUCAUCUUCCUGGCAGCCCAGAAAGCAGCUGGUGUGGUUCUGGUGUCUCCCUCUUUCCCAUACACCUCCCCAUGGGACCGUGCCUCCGAGUCAGCAUCUCCUGAGGUGGUCACUUUUUUUUUUCUUUCUUUUUCAGAAAAUAAUUUUAAAUACAUGACUGGCAAUUCAAGAGAAAACAGGAGGAAGGGUUGUUAUUGCUGAGGAUCUCAGCCCAGCCGGAGGAGACGUGUUCCUUUUGUGGAAUCAAACAUCCGUCAGGGAUCCUUCAUGCAAAUUUAUUUCACUUUUCUUCUUUUUUACCUAUUCCAUUGAUCCAGAGCCUGUAGCAGUUGGCUCAUGGAGAGAGAGGUGGGAGGUUCAGGGUCCUGUCACUUCCAACGGCAUCUUCAUGUUGAAGAGAGAUGAUUCCAGCCCAACUGCUGGCUGAGGAUCCAUGGCUGUGUCUUGGGGAAGGUGCCAGGCUGCCGUGCACGGUCUGAGUCUUCAGAGAAUCCCAGAACAGUUUGGGUUGGAAGGGACCAUAAAGAUCACCUUGUUCCAACCCCCCACCAUGGGCAGGGACACCUUCCACUAGACCAGGUUACUCAAAGCCCCAUCCAACCUGGUCUUGAGUCUUCUCCUUCAUCAGUCUCUUCUCCUGGGCAUGAAGAGCAGAUGGAGCUGCCUGGGCAAGGGCCAGAAACUGGUGCUUUCACUGCUGUGGAGAAUCUUCUGUUCUGGAAGGAAGAGCCAAACCCCUCCGGGAGCCGGAGCACAUCCAGCGGUCGGAGCCUGAGAAGCCUCACUCUCUGUGACAUUCUCUGUGUCCCUGCACCUCUUCUGCUCUGCUGGAAGCACUGCUUUGUCCUUCAAGAAAAUUUCUUUUUUGCUUGAAUUGAGUAUUUUUAUUCUUUUUUCCCCCCAAAAACCCAUCUCUGUGUGUCUUUGCAGGCCAGCUCUGGUUUGCUGUGGGACACAGAGGCCAAGCCCUCAGCUGAUGACUCCGGAUGAGUUAAGACACAUGUGGGUGUCCCCACCACGUGGGCUUGUGUGGCUGCAGAGGAGCCGCUGAGAGAACCAGGGAGAUUCCUCAUUAAAACAAUUUGGGAGACGCUCAUCCGAACAGAAAUCUGAAUUUAUUCUGCUCGCGCUGCCUCUCCUCUGUCUCCUCUUCCUCAGGCAGCGGAAUUUGCUGGUAUCGCCUCCUUUCCCCGGGCUUCUCCUCAGCCCCAGCAAUGACUUGUCUGAAUAAUUCAACUGAAAAUUCAGGAUCGCAAGUAAAUACGGGAUAAUUGCUAACAGCUCCCAGGCAAUCCGCUGCCAGAGGGCGGCUAAACUCCCGGUGAAUUAUUUAUCCGCUGUGAAUUAUUUGCCUGGCCCUGCUACGGAAGAAAAGCUCCUUCCCAACCUUUGCCUGACGAAUGGCCUGGCUGGGGGCGACUCUCCGGGUGCUGACUCAGCCCUUUCCCAGCUCCCUGCCUGCUCCUUGCUGCCUGCAG